GCCCGGCUAGCUCAGUCGGUAGAUCAUGAGACUCUAAAACUCAGGGUCGUGGGUUCGAGCCCCACGUCGGGCG
rfam:Schistosoma mansoni strain Puerto Rico chromosome 2, complete genome